UACGAAGGGUGCUAGCGUUGUUCGGAUUUACUGGGCGUAAAGCGCACGUAGGCGGAUCGUUAAGUCGGGGGUGAAAUCCUGGAGCUCAACUCCAGAACUGCCUUCGAUACUGGCGAUCUUGAGUCCGGAAGAGGUGAGUGGAACUCCUAGUGUAGAGGUGGAAUUCGUAGAUAUUAGGAAGAACACCAGUGGCGAAGGCGGAACACUGGUCCGGUACUGACGCUGAGGUGCGAAAGCGUGGGGAGCAAACAGG
rnacentral:rRNA from 1 species